AGCCUGAUCCAGCCAUCCCGCGUGAAGGACGACGGCCCUAUGGGUUGUAAACUUCUUUUGUACAGGGAUAAACCUUUCCACGUGUGGGAAGCUGAAGGUACUGUACGAAUAAGCACCGGCUAACUCCGUGCCAGCAGCCGCGGUAAUACGGAGGGUGCAAGCGUUAUCCGGAUUUAUUGGGUUUAAAGGGUCCGUAGGCGGACUCGUAAGUCAGUGGUGAAAUCUCACAGCUUAACUGUGAAACUGCCAUUGAUACUGCGGGUCUUGAGUGUUGUUGAAGUAGCUGGAAUAAGUAGUGUAGCGGUGAAAUGCAUAGAUAUUACUUAGAACACCAAUUGCGAAGGCAGGUUACUAAGCAACAACUGACGCUGAUGGACGAAAGCGUGGGGAGCGAACAGGAUUAGAUACCCUGGUAGUCCACGCCGUAAACGAUGCUAACUCGUUUUUGGGUCUUUAAGAUUCAGAGACUAAGCGAAAGUGAUAAGUUAGCCACCUGGGGAGUACGUUCGCAAGAAUGAAACUCAAAGGAAUUGACGGGGGCCCGCACAAGCGGUGGAUUAUGUGGUUUAAUUCGAUGAUACGCGAGGAACCUUACCAAGGCUUAAAUGGGAAUUGAUUGGUUUAGAAAUAGACCGUCCUUCGGGCAAUUUUCAAGGUGCUGCAUGGUUGUCGUCAGCUCGUGCCGUGAGGUGUUAGGUUAAGUCCUGCAACGAGCGCAACCCCUGUCACUAGUUGCCAUCAUUCAGUUGGGGACUCUAGUGAGACUGCCUACGCAAGUAGAGAGGAAGGUGGGGAUGACGUCAAAUCAUCACGGCCCUUACGCCUUGGGCCACACACGUAAUACAAUGGCCGGUACAGAGGGCAGCUACACAGCGAUGUGAUGCAAAUCUCGAAAGCCGGUCUCAGUUCGGAUUGGAGUCUGCAACUCGACUCUAUGAAGCUGGAAUCGCUAGUAAUCGCGCAUCAGCCAUG
rnacentral:rRNA from 1 species